GCGCCCUAGAAGCCUUCAUGAAUUUGGCUGGAUACAACAUGUCCGAGCUCAAUAUGGAUGCGUGGACCGAUGAAGAGGAUGAGGAAGAGCUAAUUCAAAAGUCUGAGAAAAAACACAAUGAUGUUGAAGAUUAAAGAUAUUUGUUAGAUAUCAGUAUUAGAGCUGCUAUGAUGUUGUUGUUCUGCUUCUGCUGGUCUGCUGU